UAUGAUCAACUGACCGAAGAGGAGAA
rnacentral:piRNA from 1 species